rnacentral:rRNA from 1 species
CAAAAACAUGUCUUAAUGGAGAAUAUAUAUUAAGUCAGGCCUGCCCAAUGAUAAUUUAUUUAAUGGCUGCAGUAAUUUAACUGUACAAAGGUAGCAUAAUAAUUAGUUUUUUAAUUGAGGACUAGUAUGAAGGGUUUUAUGAAAUAUAAGCUUUAUUACAUUAAUAAGUAUAAUUUUAUUUUAUAGUAAAAAAGCUAUAAUUUAUAUAUAAGACGAGAAGACCCUAUAGAUUUUUAUAAGUGGAUUAAUAAAUAUGAUUAGAAUUUAAUUUAUUUAUUUAAUUGGAUUAUUUUAUUGGGGUGAUAGUAAAAUUAGGUUAAUUUUUAUAUAAUUAUUACAUUUAUGUAUGAAAAUUUGAUCCAUUCGAUGAUAGUUAGAUUAAAUUACCUUAGGGAUAACAGCAUAAUUUAUUUGGAAAGUUCAUAUUGAUAAAUGAGAUUAUGACCUCGAUGUUGGAUUAAGAUUUAUUUUAGGAGCAGAAAUUUAGAAAUUAGAGUCUGUUCGACU